rnacentral:rRNA from 1 species
UGAGGGAAAAGGAUUUAUUCGCUUCAGGAUGGACUCGCGUCCAAUUAGCUAGUUGGUGAGGUAACGGCCCACCAAGGCGACGAUUGGUAGCCGGACUGAGAGGUUGAACGGCCACAUUGGGACUGAGACACGGCCCAGACUCCUACGGGAGGCAGCAGUGGGGGAUAUUGCACAAUGGGGGAAACCCUGAUGCAGCGACGCCGCGUGGAGGAAGAAGGUUUUCGGAUUGUAAACUCCUGUCGUUAGGGACGAUAAUGACGGUACCUAACAAGAAAGCACCGGCUAACUACGUGCCAGCAGCCGCGGUAAAACGUAGGGUGCAAGCGUUGUCCGGAAUUACUGGGUGUAAAGGGAGCGCAGGCGGACCGGCAAGUUGGAAGUGAAAACUAUGGGCUCAACCCAUAAAUUGCUUUCAAAACUGCUGGCCUUGAGUAGUGCAGAGGUAGGUGGAAUUCCCGGUGUAGCGGUGGAAUGCGUAGAUAUCGGGAGGAACACCAGUGGCGAAGGCGACCUACUGGGCACCAACUGACGCUGAGGCUCGAAAGCAUGGGUAGCAAACAGGAUUAGAUACCCUGGUAGUCCAUGCCGUAAACGAUGAUUACUAGGUGUUGGAGGAUUGACCCCUUCAGUGCCGCAGUUAACACAAUAAGUAAUCCACCUGGGGAGUACGACCGCAAGGUUGAAACUCAAAGGAAUUGACGGGGGCCCGCACAAGCAGUGGAGUAUGUGGUUUAAUUCGAAGCAACGCGAAGAACCUUACCAGGUCUUGACAUCCGAU